GUACGUACUGGCAUUGUUGGUUUCUCCCUUCUGACGAACCAUGAUGUCAUUUAUUUGGUGUUGUGGGGAAUCAGGACUGUUACUUUGAAAAAAUUAGGGUGUUUAAAGCAGGCUCACGCUUGAAUACAUUAGCAUGGAAUAAUGAAAUAGGACGUUUGAUUCUAUUUUGUUGGUUUCUAGGAUCGACGUAAUGAUUAAUAGGGAUAGUUGGGGGCAUUAGUAUUCAAUUGUCAGAGGUGAAAUUCUUGGAUUUAUUGAAGACUAACUACUGCGAAAGCAUUUGCCAAGGAUGUUUUCAUUAAUCAAGAACGAAAGUUAGGGGAUCGAAGACGAUCAGAUACCGUCGUAGUCUUAACCAUAAACUAUGCCGACUAGGGAUCGGAUGAUGUUAAUUUUUUAAAGACUCAUUCGGCGCCUUACG
rnacentral:rRNA from 1 species